GAUGAACGCUGGCGGCGUGCCUAAUACAUGCAAGUCGAGCGAACAGACGAGGAGCUUGCUCCUCUGACGUUAGCGGCGGACGGGUGAGUAACACGUGGAUAACCUACCUAUAAGACUGGGAUAACUUCGGGAAACCGGAGCUAAUACCGGAUAACAUGUUGAACCGCAUGGUUCAACAGUGAAAGACGGUCUUGCUGUCACUAUAGAUGGAUCCGCGCCGCAUUAGCUAGUUGGUAAGGUAACGGCUUACCAAGGCAACGAUGCGUAGCCGACCUGAGAGGGUGAUCGGCCACACUGGAACUGAGACACGGUCCAGACUCCUACGGGAGGCAGCAGUAGGGAAUCUUCCGCAAUGGGCGAAAGCCUGACGGAGCAACGCCGCGUGAGUGAAGAAGGUCUUCGGAUCGUAAAACUCUGUUAUUAGGGAAGAACAAAUGUGUAAGUAACUAUGCACGUCUUGACGGUACCUAAUCAGAAAGCCACGGCUAACUACGUG
rnacentral:rRNA from 1 species